AUACGUAGGGGGCGAGCGUUGUCCGGAAUGAUUGGGCGUAAAGGGCGCGUAGGCGGCCUUUUAAGUCUGGAGUGAAAGUCCUGCCUUUAAGGUGGGAAUUGCUUUGGAUACUGGGAGGCUUGAGUGCAGGAGAGGUUAUCGGAAUUCCCGGUGUAGCGGUGAAAUGCGUAGAGAUCGGGAGGAACACCAGUGGCGAAGGCGGGUAACUGGACUGCAACUGACGCUGAGGCGCGAAAGUGUGGGGAGCAAACAGGAUUAGAUACCCUGGUAGUCCACACUGUAAACGAUGAAUGCUAGGUGUAAGAGGUAUCGACCCCUUUUGUGCCGGAGUCAACACAAUAAGCAUUCCGCCUGGGGAGUACGGCCGCAAGGUUGAAACUCAAAGGAAUUGACGGGG
rnacentral:rRNA from 1 species